GAGCAAGGUCAUUAAUAUUAGAAUAAUGCAAUCUUGCAUUGAAGGUUGGCAAUAACAAUAUUGGGUGAUUCUCCGUGCCUUUGGAAUUAUGUUAGUGUUGAUUAUGGCCUCGAACAAGUCACUACAUU
rfam:Spinacia oleracea cultivar SynViroflay scaffold11696.con0001.1, whole genome shotgun sequence.